CAGUAGCCGCGGGAAUACGUAGGGUGCAAGCGUUAAUCGGAAUUACUGGGCGUAAAGCGUGCGCAGGCGGUUCGUUAAGACAGAUGUGAAAUCCCCGGGCUUAACCUGGGAACUGCGCUUGUGACUGCACAGCUAGAGUAUGGCAGAGGGGGGUGGAAUUCCACGUGUAGCAGUGAAAUGCGUAGAGAUGUGGAGGAACACCGAUGGCGAAGGCAGCCCCCUGGGCCAAUACUGACGCUCAUGCACGAAAGCGUGGGGAGCAAACAGGAUUAGAUACCCCAGUAGUCCCUGUCUCUUAUAA
rnacentral:rRNA from 1 species